rnacentral:tRNA from 1 species
GAUUAUUUAGUUUAUACAAAACAAAUAUUUUGAAAGUAUUAAAAAAGAGAACACCUCUUAAUAAUCA